rnacentral:rRNA from 1 species
UACGAAGGGGGCUAGCGUUGUUCGGAAUUACUGGGCGUAAAGCGCACGCAGGCGGAUUUAUACGUCAGGGGUGAAAUCCCGGGGCUCAACCUCGGAAUUGCCCUUGAUACUGUCUAUCUUGAGUCCGGGAGAGGUGAGUGGAAUUCCUAGUGUAGAGGUGAAAUUCGUAGAUAUUAGGAAGAACACCAGUGGCGAAGGCGGCUCACUGGCCCGUUACUGACGCUCAUGUGCGAAAGCGUGGGGAGCAAACAGG